CUUACGAGUUGUUUAUGCCUGGAGUUUUCCUCUAUGAAUUUGGUUGUUUCUGGAAGUUUUCUGUCCGUCUUUUCGGACUACCCUUGAACGUGGGUAUCAGAAAGCGGGAAAGCAAAACUGCGGAUAUGGGGUGGACGGGAUCAGCACCUGCUUCAAAGAAGCUGUGGCAGCAGGAGGAAAAAGUUUGAAAAUACAGGCUAGAAUUCAGAACAAGGAUUCACUGCAGACCUCAGCUCACUAUUUUAAGGGAAACCAAGGGUCAAGCUGUGAGCUGCACUGUGGAGAGGCCCAUGGACAGAGGAACCGAAGUCUCCAGCCAACAGCCAGUAGGGAUCUGAGACCAGCCAACAUCCAUGUCUCCUUCCCAAAUAACAGAUGACUCUAUGGGGAGCACUGAGCAAACUGAAUCCGCCAGCAUCUCUGGAUCUUUGGAAGAUCAAAU